rnacentral:rRNA from 1 species
GACGAACCGAGCGAACGUUGUUCGGAAUCACUGGGCUUAAAGGGCGCGUAGGCGGGCAUUCAAGUCUGUGGUGAAAUCCUCCAGCUCAACUGGAGAACUGCCAUGGAUACUGGGUGUCUCGAGGGUGGUAGGGGUAUGCGGAACUAUCGGUGGAGCGGUGAAAUGCGUUGAUAUCGAUAGGAACUCCGGUGGCGAAGGCGGCAUACUGGACCACAUCUGACGCUGAGGCGCGAAAGCCAGGGGAGCGAACGGG